UCUGAAGGGCACAGUUGUGCUACUGUCACUGAUGAUAAUAAUAAUGGAUUUUUGGCCUAGAGUGUUGACCUAUUUCACCAGUGUUUUACCGUUGACUGCCCCUCUAUGCUGCUUCCAAAAGUCAUAGUGUGUGAUAAGAUUUUUACUUUCAUUUCUAAAGUUUUUUUUUUUUAGUGAGUCCUGUUCUUCCUUUUUCUUUCAGCAGAAAUGAAAUCCCAGGUAAGUAUAAGUAUUCAAAUAUUUGAUCAGUAAGUCACAGUUAUCUCCAGUACAUUAAAUAACUUUCAUCAAAGAAACAUGUUAUAGGUAAAAAGCUCUGAAGGACCAGCUAUGUAUAUGAUAAUUAUGUUUCAGAUCUUCUAGGGUAUUAUAUAUAAUAACUUGUCUUCUGGACGUGGUCUUGAAGUCUUUAUGGAUUCAGCCUCGGUAGUAGCGAACUGCACUGCUACUUGGUUUGGAGUACAAAUUAGACUUUAGCCCUCCUGGAGGUUGAGUUUUUGGUAUUGAAAACCAUAGGAAUGAAAUUAUUGUAUUUCAGCAAAGGAUCGAGGGCUUGAGGCUUAAAAAAGGCAACAUAUGUGUGGGAAGCAGUCAGCCUUGAAAGCAGGAAAACCCAAAAGCCAGAGAAGAGCACGGAGGUGGUCACCACUGCAUGUGAACAAAAAGGUGGAGAGAAGAGAAUGGUGGUAAUCUGCGCAGGCAACUGGAGGGUGACCUGAGUGCAUCUCGCCAGGGAACAGUCCCUGUUCCAUAGAACCCCUGAAGAUGCCAGGCUCUUAUGUUUAGAUGGGGGGGCCGAAGGCGUCUGUGGGGUCACCACAUACAUCACUCCUGGAGGUGUUGUUCACUCUUUGUAAAGAGUGUCCCUGGUGAGGUUCCACAUCUCCCUCUGCAGGACCCAGCCUUGCCCUCCCAACCCGCCGAGGUCAGCAGGCAACAUCCCCAGUUAAUCACCAGGUUCUGGUCUGACACCUGUGAGGACUGUGACCUGGAGGCCUCAGCCUGAGACUCAGAGGGGAUGGAGCCUGUGCAGCGUCUGGCAGCUUAAAUGAGACACGAAGCCAAGGAAGGAGGGCCGCCUCUCUGCUCCCCCUCCGCUCCUGAGUCAGCUAGUGAGUGCCGGUUACUUCCUGUCGGAGCUGUACAGAUUUAGCAUAAAUUUUAGAUAUAGGUCUUACUUUUAACAGUGAAAGGCUGUUACAUCAAGCAAAA